AGGUUACUGCUAUCGGUGUUCGCCUAAGCCAUGCGAGUCAUAUGUUCGUAAGAACAUGGCGUACUGCUCAGUAACACGUGGAUAACCUGCCCUUGGGUCCGGCAUAACCCCGGGAAACUGGGGAUAAUUCCGGAUAACGCACAUAUGCUGGAAUGCUUUAUGCGUAAAAUGGAUUCGUCUGCCCAAGGAUGGGUCUGCGGCCUAUCAGGUAGUAGUGGGUGUAAUGUACCUACUAGCCUACGACGGGUACGGGUUGUGAGAGCAAGAGCCCGGAGAUGGAUUCUGAGACAUGAAUCCAGGCCCUACGGGGCGCAGCAGGCGCGAAAACUUUACAAUGCGGGAAACCGUGAUAAGGGGACACCGAGUGCCAGCAUCCUAUGCUGGCUGUCCGGGUGUGUAAAAUACACCUGUUAGCAAGGGCCGGGCAAGACCGGUGCCAGCCGCCGCGGUAACACCGGCGGCCCGAGUGGUGAUCGUGAUUAUUGGGUCUAAAGGGUCCGUAGCCGGUUUGGUCGGUCCUCCGGGAAAUCUGACAGCUUAACUGUUAGGCUUUCGGAGGAUACUGCCAGACUUGGAACCGGGAGAGGUAAGAGGUACUACAGGGGUAGGAGUGAAAUCUUGUAAUCCCUGUGGGACCACCUGUGGCGAAGGCGUCUUACCAGAACGGGUUCGACGGUGAGGGACGAAAGCUGGGGGCACGAACCGGAUUAGAUACCCGGGUAGUCCCAGCCGUAAACGAUGCUCGCCAGGUGUCAGGCAUGGCGCGACCGUGUCUGGUGCCGCAGGGAAGCCGUGAAGCGAGCCACUGGGAAGUACGGCCGCAAGGCUGAAACUUAA
rnacentral:rRNA from 1 species